AUGACUGAAAUUCACAGAAAUAGAGAGUGUUCUCUUUGUCCCCAGAGGAACCUAAUGUUGGAUAUUUUACCGAACAGAAUUGUGGGUUCCCAUAGGGCCGGUCUGACAGUACACCCAGACAGGUGCAAAUUAAAGAGGGAAGGACAAUAACAGAGAUUUCAUUAAAUUGAGCAAUCCGAGGUGAGAGAAUUAGGCAAAUAUUGGAAAAGAGAUUGUACAGACGGGCUUUCCGCCAAUAAAAACAUUAUGAGAGAAUCAUUUCACCUGGGAGAAGGUAAAUAUUCACACACUCCAACCACAUAAAGUUGGAUAGG